rnacentral:rRNA from 1 species
CGGCAAGCUUAAUACAUGCAAGUCGAGGGGCAGCAUGACUGUAGCAAUACAGUUGAUGGCGACCGGCAAACGGGUGCGGAACACGUACAGAACCUUCCUUCGAGCGGGGAAUAGCCCAGAGAAAUUUGGAUUAAUACCCCAUAGUAUAUUGGAGUGGCAUCACUUUGAUAUUAAAGAUUUAUCACUUGAAGAUGGCUGUGCGGCUGAUUAGAUAGUUGGCGGGGUAACGGCCCACCAAGUCUGCGAUCAGUAACUGGUGUGAGAGCACGACCAGUCACACGGGCACUGAGACACGGGCCCGACUCCUACGGGAGGCAGCAGUAAGGAAUAUUGGUCAAUGGACGAAAGUCUGAACCAGCUAUGCCGCGUGGAGGAUGAAGGCCCUCUGGGUUGUAAACUUCUUUUAUAUGGGACGAAAAAGGGCCUUUCUAGGUCAACUGACGGUACCAUGUGAAUAAGCACCGGCUAACUCCGUG